rnacentral:lncRNA from 1 species
CAAGAGUCAAGAUUACUUCCCAAAUUUUUUAUUAAUUCUGCAAAUUAGUUCAUAAAACACACUAAACAAAACUAGAAAAAUAACAAACAUUAUUAGCAACAAUUUUGUCAAACAGUUGGUGUGCAACAAUUCUUCACCAUUUCUUCAUCUUCAUUCUCAUCCCAAGACCCAUACAAAAUCGAUCUAGGAGACCCAUAACACCCACCUUGACUUUCCUUAACAAACCCAUAAUACAUCAUCAAACCACCAUUUCCAAGAUCUUCAAAGCUCGAUUCUUUAACACCAUAACCCAUUUCCAUGCAACGAUACAUAAAAUUCAAUGUGUUUGAAACAACUCAACACCCUUUUGACCAGAAGAGUUAAAUCGAUUGAUGAUUGAAACAACUCAACACCCUUACCUAAUAAGCCGCUUAGCACUCACUUUCAAAAUCGAUUAAAGAUGAAGAGGAUUAGUAGUGGUGGAAGAAGAAGUUGUUCGUGGAUUGAAGGAGAAGGAGAAAGAAGAAGUCACGCCGUUUAGGAGCAAAGAGAUAGAGAAGGGCAAAUACGUGAAACUAGUGCGAAGGACCGAGUCAGCUACUUUUUCUUUGAGGACCGAAUCAGUGGUUGUGGACUGAAUCAGGUGUGCAAAGAACUCUAAUCAAACAAGCUGACCAGCUGACCCGGACCGAGUCAGAAAAAAAGGUCUGACUGGACCGAGUUAACUGUAUGUUUGGCAAUUAAAUCAACAAGGAAUCUUACGAUUAACAACAUUAAGGAACAACUUUCUAUUUAGCAUUCUCUUAUGUUGUAAUUAAGAUCACAGGGAGCUCUGUAAUAUGCAGGCAUGGUCGAAGGGAAGAACAUCUGACGUACUCCUUCCGCUUUUAUGAUCGGAAAUAUGAUUCCAGAUGCACCCUGCAUCAUUUUAAUGGUAUGCCAAUUUUUAGAUUUUAGAUUUCAAUUUUAUUAAAAGGGAAAUCUCUGAUAAAAUCCUAAUAUUUUAGGUCAAUUUACGAUUUAGUCCCAAAUUAAAUUUUGUUUACAAAAAUAGACAGAUUACCGGCUAAAACUUCGGAAUAACCCUUCGUGGCCGGUUUCACAGAUUUAGCCGAUAUCUCGUCUUUUUUCGUUAAUUAAUCCAAAUUUUGGGGCUUUUUCAUUAAUUAAUCAAAAUUUUAGGGCUUUUUCAUUAUUUAUUACCAAUAAACCAAAAUAUUUGGACUUUUCUGAAGACUACCUUUAAACUAAUAUAUAUUAUAUGAUCUAACUUAAUAUGUACCAUUCCCUGUCUUCUUUCUUACGCUCUUCUAGGCGCACCGUAUGUUUUUAUUGUCGUCGUCAAACCCAACAACAAAAAUCUCACUCACAAGCAUUGUUAACUCCAUCGAUUUUCCAAAAUCAUCCAUUCAUAACUCUACGAUCAUCUUUCAAUCUCCAAAUGAAGAAAUGAGAAAAUCAUUGUUGAUUAUGUGGAUGCCCCUAUUACCUAACCAUGACUUAAACCAUG